CUUGGGGUUCCCCUUGAAGGGCCUUAAGUGAACCCAAGCCUUAACGCAAUAAAGUAGACCGCCCUGGGGGAGUACGGCCGCAAGGUUAAAACUCAAAGGAAUUGACGGGGCCCGCACAACGGUGGAGCAUGUGGUUUAAUUCGAUGCAACGCGAAGAACCUUACCUGGUCUUGACAUAUCUAGAAUCCUGCAGAGAUGCGGGAGUGCCUUCGGGAAUUAGAAUACAGGUGCUGCAUGGCUGUCGUCAGCUCGUGUCGUGAGAUGUUGGGUUAAGUCCCGCAACGAGCGCAACCCUUUUCCUUAGUUACCAGCGGGUUAAGCCGGGAACUCUAAGGAUACUGCCAGUGACAAACUGGAGGAAGGCGGGGACGACGUCAAGUCAUCAUGGCCCUUACGACCAGGGCUACACACGUGCUACAAUGGUAGGUACAGAGGGCAGCUACACAGCGAUGUGAUGCGAAUCUCAAAAAGCCUAUCGUAGUCCAGAUUGGAGUCUGCAACUCGACUCCAUGAAGUAGGAAUCGCUAGUAAUCGCGGAUCAGAAUGCCGCGGUGAAUACGUUCCCGGGCCUUGUACACACCGCCCGUCACACCAUGGGAGUUGAUUGCACCAGAAGUGGAUAGCCUAACCGUAAGGAAGGCGUUCACCACGGUGUGGUUGCACCUGACUGGGGUGAAGUCGUAACAAGGUAGCCGUAGGGGAACCUGUGGCUGGAUCACCUCCUUAAA
rnacentral:rRNA from 1 species